AGGAAAGCCAGGAGAGAACAAUGAUAGAAGAAAGGGUCCUAAGAAAGGGAGCUGGGAAUUUUAGGUUCUAUAUGAUUCAACAAUGUGAUGAGGUAGCCAAAAUAGCUCACAGAAGAAUAUUGUUCAGAAAGAGUGAGAUAAUAGCCAGAUCCUUGAAUGGUGUGUGGAGGUGCUAAGCACAGAAUUUUAAAAAUGGCCUUCUUCAUUACGGGGGUAUCUAAUGCCAUUUUGGUUCUGAAGGAGAGAUGUCGAUUUCCUUCGGACUACACUUGGAAUAGUAGUGUUCAGUGCUGAGGUACCAUACCUUAUGAAGGACAUUGAGAGAUCUAAGCAUAUCCAGAAGGUGGCUGAGAAAACUCAAGACUCUGCCAUGUGAAGAAUGGACAGAGAAACUAAAGAUGUUCAAAUGAAAAAAAGAAGAGACUUAGGGGUAGGCUGGGAAGGGGAAAAGAAGUGGGGAAGAAUGCAGGGCUGAGGAAAGAUGGCCAUCAUAGUUGUCUUCAGAUACUUGUCUGGCACUCAGUCUCCUCAGGAAUCUCUGCCCCUGGGGCCCCUCUGAUUGGAGGGUGGAAUGAAGAGCUCCUUCCAGAACUUGCAUUUAAGGAGGGUACCAAGAAUUUCUUUAUUUCCCACCCAGCUACAUACCUGUGGACCACAUCAUGCUCCCUGUAUCAGGAGCAGUGCUGAAACUACAAGUGUGGAGAGUCUGUUCAAACAACAAGACCCAAGAGAGUGUACAAAGUGAAAUUAACUGGAGCUAGCUGCGUGGGUCUUCUCCCUGAUGAUUCAGAGAAUGGGGGACUGAAGCCCAUGUGGAAGAAGGGGAACACAGACUACAAGGACACAUUUUCCAUCACACCAUGCUGGGCUUUACUUUCAGUGUUUAACCAAUGAGCCUCUCUACAUCUCCAAGGGGCUCAGCAGCACCCCUUUCCCAAGAAGAGCAACGUUUAAAACCACCUCAGUAAAAACACCAUUCAUUGUUGUA